CAGUAUAAACAAAGGAGGCUCAGCUUGGCUUGCAGAGAUCUAGAUAGAGUAAUUACUUUAUCUCUGGUUCUUGGUACAUGGUCUAAUAAGUUAAAUCUACAGUUGAUGUUGCUGACUGAAGCUCAGGAGCACUGUCCAUUGAGAGACAGUGAAAGCUGGCGUCUGUAACUCCGUACCAUUACCUCAUGUGUUGAGUAAAGCCCACCUGAACUUGGAACAUAUUGCGGAGGGACAGGAAUAUCUGCAUUGGGUAGCUUCACAAAUCCCGGGCAAGACCUGAAAUAACCCUAUUGAAGAUAAGCAGAUGCAAUGCUAACUGGAGCGUCACUAUUGGAUAGAGGAGUACUUCUUCUGAUGAUUGAUGGUGCGUUUCAGAAUCUUCAGACGAGAUAUAAGGGCGAAAGAAAAAGUAGCCGUAACUUCCAUGGACUAGCACUGCUCAAAAAACACAAGAAAAGGAAAAUAAGAAAAUCUUCGCCGCCUGACUGCUACAAGCAGGGACCUCCUGCAGAGUGAAAGACUCUUACAUUAAUUAUACUACUCUGUUUAUUGUCUCAAGUUUAUUUAUUGUAUUAUUACCUUAUUUUCCUUU